rnacentral:rRNA from 1 species
AACGAACGCUGGCGGCAUGCCUAACACAUGCAAGUCGAACGAGACCUUCGGGUCUAGUGGCGCACGGGUGCGUAACGCGUGGGAACCUGCCCUUAGGUUCGGAAUAACUCCCCGAAAGGGGUGCUAAUACCGGAUAAUGUCUUCGGACCAAAGAUUUAUCGCCUUUGGGUGGGCCCGCGUUGGAUUAGCUAGUUGGUAGGGUAAAAGCCUACCAAGGCGACGAUCCAUAGCUGGUCUGAGAGGAUGAUCAGCCACACUUGGACUGCGACACGGCCCAGACUCCUACGGGAGGCAGCAGUGGGGAAUAUUGGACAAUGGGCGAAAGCCUGAUCCAGCAAUGCCGCGUGAGUGAUGAAGGCCUUAGGGUUGUAAAGCUCUUUUACCCGGGAUGAUAAUGACAGUACCGGGAGAAUAAGCUCCGGCUAACUCCGUG